rnacentral:rRNA from 2 species
UGGGGAAUAUUGCACAGUGGAGGGAACUCUGAUGCAGCGACGCCGCGUGAACGAAGAAGGCUUUCGAGUCGUAAAGUUCUUUUAUAUGGGAAGAUAAUGACGGUACCAUAAGAAAAAGCCCCGGCUAACUACGUGCCAGCAGCCGCGGUAAUACGUAGGGGGCUAGCGUUGUCCGGAAUCACUGGGCGUAAAGGGUUCGCAGGCGGAAAUGCAAGUCAGGUGUAAAAGGCAGUAGCUUAACUACUGUAAGCAUUUGAAACUGCAUAUCUUGAGAAGAGUAGAGGUAAGUGGAAUUUUUAGUGUAGCGGUGAAAUGCGUAGAUAUUAAAAAGAAUACCGGUGGCGAAGGCGACUUACUGGGCUCAUUCUGACGCUGAGGAACGAAAGCGUGGGUAGCAAACAGG